CCAGGAGGCUAUCCUGAUAACAAAUGAAGAAGCAGGUCAGUAGAGCCAGAGGCCAUAAAUGCUGGAGAGCGAACCUGGCCAGCAUGCGUAACCAGGACUUGUCCAGCCAUCCUGCUGCCUGCUUGAGAUGGAAGCAUGCUCUGGGGAUGGUCAAGGGAACAUGGAAAGAUCUGUGCCCUCACGGAUAUUCUUGAGCCACCAGAUCAAACAAGUCCAGAUACUCACACACCCUCUGACCGGCUGCUAUGAGGGGUGAUAAGUUUUCUGACUGUGAACCAACUGUAUGACUCACAGUUGUGAGCCCCUGCAAGAAAUGAUCAACAAUGUACCCUGAUGAAUCACAAAACAGAACAAUGACCAAAUCUGGGAGUAUUGGGGCAGUAUUUUCACCCGGAACAUGCAAGGUAAGAGCCAGGGAAGCAGUCAUGGGGGUGAGGAGGAAGAAGCAUCUUCAGAAAAUGCAGAGGGAAGGAAUCCCUGGACUUCACCGAUACUCAGCAGCACAUGACCAGCAUCUGUCUCUCCUUAAAGCCCUCCUCUUAUUUUUCAUCCUGGACACGAAACUCAUAGUUUGCCUUGUGUUUCACUGGCGCUUCCCUUUUUUCAGUCUCCUUUGCCAGCAACUCGUCCUUUUCCUGACCUCUGAUGUCGGCAGACCCUUUCACACAAGAUGGGGAACCCGAAGGAGGCCAGGAGACCUGCUCCUGUCACUAACACACUGGGGUUGAGUCCAAGUGGAGCUCCUUCUCCCAGCCCGUGGUGCCUCUCCUGCCCUCAACCCCCACAUCCUCCCUUCCAGACCCUUGAGCAAAAGCUGCAGGUAAAGGAACUUCCAAAUGCCUCUUUCAGAAUGAGUUAUUCCACCUAGGGAAAAAAAAAAGUCUCUUCCUCUUGAACCAUCUAGAAAAAAUUAAAGCUGACUCUGAAUAGUGGCAAAUUUUCCUAAUUUCCAAUGUGAGCUCAGGCACCCUCCAACUAUACACACAGAGUGUUGAAUAUGCAACAUGAAUUAAACAUAAAUUAAAGAUGCAUAUGAAAAAGCAUGUUGGGCAAUGCAAUUUCUAUUAGAAAAGCACUUUUUCCUCCUCUUCAUUCAAGUCCUAGGACAGAAAUCAUUUGUAGCUAAUAUUAUAAAAAAAGCAAUUUCAUGAAAAUUUAUGAAUAUUUUUUUUCUAACCUCUGGCUGAUUAACCAGGUAACUUAUUUAUUAAUGUGAAGGAAAAAGAGGACUAACUGUCUGCCCUAUAUUCUCACUUGGAAGAUUCCUCUGCUCUAACUUCAUUUUUUCAAGUAAAAAUUCUCCCAGUAGGAUUUGGUAUAACUGAAUACACAGAAAAACCUCCAGUAUCUUUUUUUUUAAG